GACGAACGCUGGCGGCGUGCUUAACACAUGCAAGUCGAACGGAAAGGCCCUGCUUUUGUGGGGUGCUCGAGUGGCGAACGGGUGAGUAACACGUGAGUAACCUGCCCUUGACUUUGGGAUAACUUCAGGAAACUGGGGCUAAUACCGGAUAGGAGCUCCUGCUGCAUGGUGGGGGUUGGAAAGUUUCGGCGGUUGGGGAUGGACUCGCGGCUUAUCAGCUUGUUGGUGGGGUAGUGGCUUACCAAGGCUUUGACGGGUUGCCGGCCUGAGAGGGUGACCGGCCACAUUGGGACUGAGAUACGGCCCAGACUCCUACGGGAGGCAGAAGUGGGGAAUAUUGCACAAUGGGCGGAAGCCUGAUGCAGCAACGCCGCGUGCGGGAUGACGGCCUUCGGGUUGUAAACCGCUUUCGCCUGUGACGAAGCGUGAGUGACGGUAAUGGGUAAAGAAGCACCGGCUAACUACGUG
rnacentral:rRNA from 1 species